CGACGUAGGACGCGAGCGUUAUCCGGAUUUACUGGGCGUAAAGCGUCUGUAGGCGGUUGGGCAAGUUGGGCGUGAAAUCUCCGGGCUCAACCCGGAGGGGGCGUUCAAUACUGCCGGACUAGAGGGCAUCAGAGGGGCGUGGAAUUUCCGGAGUAGCGGUAAAAUGCGCAGAUAUCGGAAGGAACACCAGUGGCGAAGGCGGCGCUCUGGGGUGCACCUGACGCUGAGAGACGAAAGCUAGGGGAGCGAACAGGAUUAGAAACCCUAGUAGUCC
rnacentral:rRNA from 1 species